CCUACGGGAGGCAGCAGUGAGGAAUAUUGGUCAAUGGACGAGAGUCUGAACCAGCCAAGUAGCGUGAAGGAUGACUGCCCUAUGGGUUGUAAACUUCUUUUAUAUGGGAAUAAAAUGUUCCACGUGUGGGAUUUUGUAUGUACCAUAUGAAUGAGGAUCGGCUAACUCCGUGCCAGCAGCCGCGGUAAUACGGAGGAUCCGAGCGUUAUCCGGAUUUAUUGGGUUUAAAGGGAGCGUAGGUGGAUUGUUAAGUCAGUUGUGAAAGUUUGCGGCUCAACCGUAAAAUUGCAGUUGAAACUGGCAGUCUUGAGUACAGUAGAGGUGGGCGGAAUGCGUGGUGUAGCGGUGAAAUGCUUAGAUAUCACGAAGAACUCCGAUUGCGAAGGCAGUUCACUGGACUGCAACUGACACUGAGGCUCGAAAGUGUGGGUAUCAAACAGGAUUAGAUACCCCAGUAGUC
rnacentral:rRNA from 1 species